CCGAGACCCCAGGUCAGGCGGGAUCACCCGCUGAGU
rnacentral:rRNA from 1 species